AGCGGACGCUGGCGGCAGGCCUAACACAUGCAAGUCGAACGAAGUCUUCGGACUUAGUGGCGGACGGGUGAGUAACACGUGGGAACGUGCCUUUAGGUUCAGAAUAACUCAGGGAAACUUGUGCUAAUACCGAAUGUGCCCUUCGGGGGAAAGAUUUAUCGCCUUUAGAGCGGCCCGGGUCUGAUUAGCUAGUUGGUGAGGUAACGGCUCACCAAGGCGACGAUCAGUAGCUGGUCUGAGAGGAUGACCGGCCACACUGGGACUGAGACACGGCCCAGACUCCUACGGGGGGCAGCAGUGGGGAAUCUUGCGCAAUGAGCGAAAGACUGACGCAGCCAUGCCGCGUGAAUGAUGAAGGUCUUAGGAUUGUAAAAUUCUUUCACCGGGGACGAUAAUGACGGUACCCGGAGAAGAAGCCCCGGCUAACUUCGUGCCAGCAGCCGCCGUAACAC
rnacentral:rRNA from 1 species